rnacentral:rRNA from 1 species
UAGGGAAUCUUCCACAAUGGACGCAAGUCUGCUGGAGCAACGCCGCGUGAGUGAAGAAGGUUUUCGGAUCGUAAAGCUCUGUUGUUGGUGAAGAAGGAUAGAGGUAGUAACUGGCCUUUAUUUGACGGUAAUCAACCAGAAAGUCACGGCUAACUACGUGCCAGCAGCCGCGGUAAUACGUAGGUGGCAAGCGUUGUCCGGAUUUAUUGGGCGUAAAGCGAGCGCAGGCGGAAGAAUAAGUCUGAUGUGAAAGCCCUCGGCUUAACCGAGGAACUGCAUCGGAAACUGUUUUUCUUGAGUGCAGAAGAGGAGAGUGGAAUUCCAUGUGUAGCGGUGGAAUGCGUAGAUAUAUGGAAGAACGCCAGUGGCGAAGGCGACUCUCUGGUCUGCAACUGACGCUGAGGCUCGAAAGCAUGGGUAGCGAACAGG